GCUGAGAAGCUCCAGGAACCAGGAGACCAAGAGAGAACUGUAACACUGAAGACAGUGAGGAGCGGUGGCAGAGAAACAGCAGCCAGAGAGACUGGCAGCAGACGGCGCAGUGGGCUUCCCAGCCCACAGAGAGAGAAAGCUGAGCGCCUUUGGGCAAGGAGGCUUGCUGGUGAAGGAGGGUGCCUCCAGGCACUUGGUGGAGCUAGGCGUGCCGACCCACAGAGCUGAGCACCUUCAUGCCAAGGCUUACUAAUGAAGUGGUGUGCCUCGGGGCACUUAUUAGCAGAGCUAAAAGAGCUUUGUAACACUUGCCCCAGCAGGGCAGAGGCCAAGCGCCAGAGAGAGACAUGCCUUUGAGCAUGGCUGAGAAGAGGCUGUCCUGAUGGAAGAACUGUAUCGUGAGCAUUCCUGAACCUGAAUUGUAACCUGUUACUUCCCUAAUAAACCCCAUAAUCUUUUAUAGAGAAGAAGGACUAACUCCUGCACAACUUCCUCUUUGACAUCCCUUUACAGACGAUGGGGGAUGGUGACAGAAGUAUGAGCGUGCAAGAAACAAGGCACAGAAUUAGUGAGAGAAAGAAAAGGUGAGAUGGAAAGGCAAUGGAGGAUUCUGAAUGGAGAAGCAACGCUGACUUACAUACCUCUGCUCAAGCUGUUGCCAACUCUGCCUAGAACACCACCCUUUCCCAUCAUUUUUCAAAUAAUGCUGAAGUUUACUUCAAAGCCCAAUGCAAAAAUCACCACCUCAAUGAUGCCAACCCUGACUGAGAAUUACGGUUACUCCACCGUUUGGUUAUCCCCAAAACUGGCAGCACUUAUGAUGGUCUAAUUACGUUUGGUUAUUUGUGUGCAUUUUUUUUAACCCCACCAAGUGUGUAUGCUCAUCCAGAAUAUUUUAUUCAUUUUCUAUUCUACCAGCUGUGCACAGUACACUGUUGUUUGUAAAUUAAACUACAACUAUGUGCUUUUCUUUUUUUUAAUAAAUUGGAAGAUGAAAUUAAAGUAUUAGCUUUUCCUUUAUUAUCCCUGAAAAAAAGUUCUGUUCUCCUGAUGACUAUAAAACUCACUGCCGUUGAGUCGAUUCCAACUCAUAGUGGCCCUACAGGACAGAGCAGAACGGCUCCAUAGGAUUUCUAAGGCUGUAAAUCUUUACUGAAGCAGACUACCGCAUCUUUCUC